GACGAACGCUGGCGGCGUGCUUAACACAUGCAAGUCGAACGAUGGAGGAGAGCUUGCUCUCCGGAUUAGUGGCGAACGGGUGAGUAACACGUGACUAACCCGCCCCUUUCUCUGGGAUAACGCUCCGAAAGGAGUGCUAAUACCGGAUACGAACUCUGAACACAUGUUCGGAGUUGGAAAGUUUUUCGGAAAGGGAUGGAGUCGCGGCCUAUCAGCUUGUUGGUGAGGUAAUGGCUCACCAAGGCGACGACGGGUAGCCGGCCUGAGAGGGCGACCGGCCACACUGGGACUGAGACACGGCCCAGACUCCUACGGGAGGCAGCAGUGGGGAAUAUUGCACAAUGGGCGAAAGCCUGAUGCAGCGACGCCGCGUGAGGGAUGAAGGUCUUCGGAUUGUAAACCUCUUUCAGUAGGGACGAAGCGAAAGUGACGGUACCUAAAGAAGAAGCACCGGCUAACUACGUGCCAGCCGCCGCGGUAA
rnacentral:rRNA from 1 species